GUCCGGAUUUACUGGGCGUAAAGAGCUCGUAGGUGGUUUGUCGCGUUGUUCGUGAAAUCUCACGGCUUAACUGUGAGCGCGCGGGCGAUACGGGCGGAUUUGAGUACUGCAGGGGAGACUGGAAUUCCUGGUGUAGCGGUGGAAUGCGCAGAUAUCAGGAGGAACACCGGUGGCGAAGGCGGGUCUCUGGGCAGUAACUGACGCUGAGGAGCGAAAGCGUGGGGAGCGAACAGGAUUAGAUACCCUGGUAGUCCACGCCGUAAACGGUGGGUACUAGGUGUGGGUUUCCUUCCUUGGGAUCCGUGCCGUAGCUAACGCAUUAAGUACCCCGCCUGGGGAGUACGGCCGCAAGGCUAAAACUCAAAGAAAUUGACGGGGGCCCGCACAAGCGGCGGAGCAUGUGGAUUAAUUCGAUGCAACGCGAAGAACCUUACCUGGGUUUGACAUGCACAGGACGCCGGCAGAGAUGUCGGUUCCCUUGUGGCCUGUGUGCAGGUGGUGCAUGGCUGUCGUCAGCUCGUGUCGUGAGAUGUUGGGUUAAGUCCCGCAACGAGCGCAAC
rnacentral:rRNA from 1 species